CUGAAUGUAACUGGUUCCCAUAGGCUCACAGGUUAUAGCACUAUUAUGAGGUGUGGCCUUCCUGCUGCCUACGGAUCAAUACAUGGAACUGUCAGUCCCUUCUCCAGCAUCAAACCUGCAUGCUGCCAUGUUUCCUGGGAUGCUGAUAAUGGACAAAACCUUUGAACCUGACCAGGGAAGGAGACAAAUGAACACUCCCAAACCUUUCUGCUUGACCAAGUUUAUGCUGUCCUGGGCAAUCUCCUUCUCAAGAUUCUGCGAGCACAGUGGAACUGGCCACUUCUGACACAGUACAGAAGCUGCUCUGCAGAGUUAAGUCAAACCGGUUUCCGCUCAGACGUCCUGAACUAACUAACAUGCCACCACAGCUCUGCUGCUCAAGAAGACAUGUCUUUUGUUUCUCAAGUUUCAAUUUGCAAACAACAAAAUUUUAUUAAAACUCUAAAUUAGGGGUUUUAAAAAUAUAAUUAAACUUUAUUUGUAAAACAACAAAACUUUAAUUAUCAAAUAAAACGAU
rnacentral:lncRNA from 1 species